GAGCACGGAUCAGCCCCGUUGUGCUCCUCCCGGCCUUGGCUCGCGGGGUUUGGAUGUGAUGGCCCGAGCCAGGAGGUUUCAGGGAAGUUCCCUGUGUGCCUCCUGAGCUCAGAGGGAUCCUCAGCUGCUUCUGCAGCCCUUGUGAAGCUGUGAUGUUAACCUCCAUGUCCUGGCCACGUCCCAAAAAUGGGGCCCUGGCAAUACCUGACACCAAAGAGCCAGAGAUUUCAAAGGCUGCAGCGGGAGCAGAAGGCAUCCUCUGGAACACACCGCCAGGAACUGCCAGUUGAUACAGAUGUAUUGAUUUAAUCAGCCUGGAUGACAGCAUUUAUUUAUGCAAAACAGCUGUGACAAAAACGUGGCACUUUGAAGAAUUCUCCCUGGGGUGUUGCUUCCUUGCUGAGGUUCCCUGAGUGAAGCAGCAUUCAAGAAAUUUGAUGAUCACCAAGAGGAUAGUUUGGAAAGCUGUUAUCUCUGUGGUUGAUUCAGCUCCAUCUCCCCUUCUGGAGCCUCAUAAAGGACCAAUUUUCCACUGCCAUGUCCUAGAACCAGCAGAGAUCAAGUGUUCUCCUCAUUGGUGAUCACAUCCCCUUCAUGCAUGGAGAUUUUUUCUGACUUAUUGUGACUUUUCCUGAGUAAUUGAAGCUUUGCCAGUAAUUCAUCUCCUGUGUUUUUCCCCAGUGUUUUCCCCCAUCUGCAAGCCCAGUGCACAUUUUGUUUGCUGUGUCCUCCAACGUAUCCAUGCAGAAAUUGGAUAAAGCCAGGCUUAACGCACUUCCCUCUCCGAGCAGCACCUCCUUCAUCUCCUCAAACGUGACAUCUCAAACUUUCUCCUGGUUUGUGGUACUUCAGCCAAUGCAGAGACCACAGACAAGUACUCAUAUCCAGGCCAGACUGAGUCAAGCUUUCAAUUCAGAUUUUAUGGGACUAUCAAACGCUUCACUAGAACACAGAGAUAUUUGCCCAGAAACCAUCGUAGAUGUUUUCAUCUUCCUGCUCAGGCAAUUAGAGUUGGAGGAGCUGGUUGCAAGAUUGUGAAUAUCUCUUAUGGAGGUCUCUGCUGGUUUAGAGCCAAAAGGAAUGUUUUUAACUGAGCUUUGCUCCCUGCUUAAAAUGCCCUGAGCUCCAAGAGCUGUAUCAGCACACUGGAGUUUGGUAGUCAGAGGAAAUCCGGGCACAACUCCUUGACCUGUGAUUUUCAGAUUUUCAGAUGCAAAGUAAGGUGAGCCUGGUCACCAAAUCAACCCCAUCAGUGCCCUACUGUGCAUUAAAUACCUCCAUUUGCCUCUUGGUGGCCCUGCACAGGUCGUUGGAGCCAAGACUGGCAGAGGGACUUGAUGUCCUCCCAUUUAGACCUGGCCCUACAGCACCUGUGGGCUGCCCUGGGUCACCUCAACCCAGAGCAAAGGAAAUCAGGACUGGGAAGGGAGAAGCUCAAGACCUGAGGCCGCUCUGUGUUGGCUUGUCAUCACCUGACUUAAUAGUUAACAUUAUUAUUACAUUUAAGAGAGAACAUAAGGAAUGCAUUUGUCUGGAAUUACUUAUCACUUGGAAGUCUGGGCUCGCAAGGAGAUACGAACAGCUUUAGCAGGUCAGGCUGGGAGCCCAGGCCAAAUAACCUCCUCUCUGCAGCAGCAGUGAGAGCCCAGCAAAGAGCACAAAUGUAGGUCAGUCCUACAGCAGUACUUCCCCCAAAACACUUGCCCAACUCACGGUGGUUUCUGGCUCAGGCACUUUCUGAACCAGACAUGGAGCCUUUCUGUUUAAUACAAAACCCAGAUGGAUUUUAAAAACCUCUGAUGAGUUUUUCUUUCACAAAUUCAUCCAGUAAGCUUUUAAUGCUCCCAGGAUCCCGUGGCAAGGAGUUCCACGGGAUGACGAAGCACGGUGUGGAGGGUUGUUCCUGCUCCCUUGGAACUGCCAGCCACCAGCUUCCUUUCAUGCUUCUGAGUUCUGUGUUAGAGGCAGAAACAGCAAACAGCUGCUUUCUAUUCUCUUCUUGUCAUUCCCAAUUCCUGAGAAGGCCAUCAGAUCCUCUCACUCAUCCCUCUUCUGGCUGAAGAAACAGAAUCAUUUUAAUUGUUCUCACUGUGAGGACUAAAUCUUUGAUUACCCUUGGCACCACCCUCUGUGUUCCAGCUUGAUUAGUUCCUUUAGGAGCUGGGAGAUUGCAGGUAUUCCAGGUGAAGAUGCAACAAAAUUUAUAAAAUAAGACUUUCCUUCCUGUCUAUCUAUCUAUCUAUCUAUCUAUCUAUCUAUCUAUCUAUCUAUCUAUCCAUCCAACUAUCUAUCUAUCCAUCCAUCUAUCUAUCUAUCCAACUAUCUAUCUACCUAUCUAUCUAUCUAUCUAUCUAUCUAUCUAUCUAUCUAUCUAUCUAUCUAUCUAUCCAUCCAUCCAACUAUCUAUCUAUCCAUCCAACUAUCUACCUAUCCAUCCAUCUAUCUAUCUAUCUAUCUAUCUAUCUAUCUAUCUAUCUAUCUACCUAUAUAUUCUUCAUUUCUUAAUAGUUUCUAAUAUUCACUUGGCUUCCUGAGAGCCACAGGUCCAAGCUAUUUCCCAGGAUAAUCACCCUCCAUUUCUCCUCAAAGGUUAGGGUUAGUUUAGAGUCUAAGAGUCGAGGUUACUUCAGAGCAUUUCCAGCACCCUCCUCCCCCGUGUACAUCACUUGACAUUUAUCUGUCCUGAAUUUCACCUGAAGUUUUCUCACUCAGCCACGAACUUCCAGAUGGAUUUUUGGCAUCCCAUCACAGUCACCUUUCAUCUUUAGCCCCUGAAUAGUUUAGUGUUAUCAGCAGGGUGGACUCAUCAGUCUGUCUCCAUCCUCACAUGAAGAUUUCUUCUCCAGUUUUCCUCAGUUUGACACUGGAUCCUAAUCCAUCUGUCAAGUGGAGUGACCCAUACAGAACUAUGCCAUUAGUGGCUGCUGAAACGCCUUGGAAAGCAUCUUUCCCUGCUAGGAUGAGUGAUGUGGGAAGAGAAGUAGAAAGAAAUUUCCUCUUAUUCCUGGAAAUAAAUGACAAUUGUUCUAAAAGUCUGCAGACGUCUGGCUAUUACAUCAUCCAAGGCUCUGGAGCUUCCAGCCAGCAGUCCCUUAACAAAGGAGAUGCAUUUCCUUCAAGGAAUUCCACCAUUUACACAUCUGAUAUUAAUUCUUAUUGGGCAAAAACAAGAAUAGGCACGAGUGACUUUUCCAGUUGAUGUUUACUUUUUCCCAGGCCACAAAACAUCCAUUGACUGUGAAACUUCAAUUUGCUGCAUAACAAAUGCCUGCUUUUGUAAUGGGUUAAUAAAGCUGCUUCACAAAUAACAGCACGAGAAGCUACAGAUGUUGACCUAAGGGGGGAAAAAAAUAAAUACAAGCAACAUUUGGGUUUAAUUUGAUUAUUUAUUAAAUAUUUAUCGCAGUAUCUGAGAAUGGAAGGAAUUUCAUUCUGCCCAGCUGGUCAUUCUGGGCUGUUGAAGUCAGCAAAGAGAUGGCUGGCAAGAAGGAGAUCUUGUGACUCCUGGGAGUUCUAAAUUGCACUUUGAGGCUGCAAUUUGGUUCUUUGCUCCUAUUUCCCCAUCCUUGAGGCAAGAAGGGUGUUUCUUUGCUCACUUACAUGGGAGAAAACUUUAAUUUAGAAAGUGUGGAAAGCACAGAUAUCCAAAAUCUCAGUAGCCCUGCACAAGCUGGGUGAUCAUGGAUGAAAUGAGCCAGGAGAAAACCCUUGAUCCUGGAGUGUGAGGGCUUGUAGGUCUUGGGGUGAUCCCUGGGAUCCAGGCAUUCCCUGGGAGCUCUGCUCACAUCCCUGUGCUCACCCAGCAGAUUUUCUGGAUGUGGCUGAGCACACAAGGGAAUAUUUGGGCUGGGAAGGGGAAUUAGAUGUUGAUUACUGUGUAAAUAUUGCCCCCUCUGAAGGGAGCAGUCUGUGUUUGGGCAGGAUCAGAUACUCUCUGCUCACAGUUUGAGGCACAUCAUGAGUUAUUUUGUGUUCCUGCCAUUGGGAACACGAUUUCACUAUUGCAAAGGGCCAGCUGAGGUAAAGGGCAGGGAAAGGCAUUGGGAUGCCCUGUGGCCACAGCCCGUUGUCCAGCUGGAAAAUCCCUAUUUUCUGCUGUAACACAACCCAGCCAUCAGCCAUUUUCCAGGGCAGCUGCUGGGUGGAAAGGGCAGGGACAUCUGGAUAUUGCCAGGGAAGUUCUCUCUGCCAUGCACCAAGCCUUCUUGCUCCUUUAUGGAGUCUGAGAAGCUGAGAUUUGAGCUUUAUUCCUGCCUGGGAAGGCUUUAUUCCUUCCCUUUCUCCAUGUCCAGUAGGGUAAUAAAGCCAAGACACGAGAAAUUUGGCCAAUGUUGUGUUCCAUGCCAGGGUCCUGUAUUUAAAGGCUGUGCUUUGGAAAUAAACCUUCUUUAUUUUUUUCCUAUCAUUUAUCCAAAUCCUGGUAUUUUUCCUGAGCAGCAUCUGUUGCAGGGAGAAGUCAGUGGGUGUCAGUGUCAUUCAGGAUCAGCCCAGGACAAGCAGGGCUCUCCUACGUCAGAGCUUUCCAGGGUUUUACCACAUUUGGAGCAGAGAUCUGGCACGGGUCGUUCUUCUGCAUCUUCUGUGGGUGUCACCGAGACAGAACACAGAAAGCUUCAGCUUGCAAUAAAUCCCCAGAUGUGCUAAGUGCCACACAAUGGAAAUCCUUUCAGCAGACUGUCAGGAGGAAGAGACUUCACUGGGAGUAGGGAAGGGCAGCUGCCUCUCUGGUGAAUUUGGCAGAUUGGGUUUUACAGCUGCUCCCCAACCUAUUACAAUUCAUUUCUCCAUCCCCAUCCCUGCUGCAGACAGAGCUGGGCUGAGGCAGACCUCAGCACAAGGAGCUGCAUCCUCUCCAGGGGUGCUGGAGCUGUGACAGCAACACCAGUGCUGAGAGCAGUUUCUGAGAGUUUAAGGAUUUGGGCAGAUAUUGUAACAAAAAUAUUUCUGCUCAUGCGAGGACAUGUUUUUUUAAGCCCAAAAAAAUCAGAUAUUUGGCAUUUUCUGAGUUGCCACCCUCCAGAAAGAACAGCAGCUGCCUGGGUCAGGAUCAAGUGUGUGGAAA